CCCGUAGCUCAGUUGGAUAGAGCAACGGCCUUCUAAGCCGUGGGUCGCAGGUUCGAAUCCUGCCGGG
rnacentral:tRNA from 1 species